rnacentral:rRNA from 1 species
AGGGUGCGAGCGUUAGUUCGGAAUCUACUGGGCGCGUAAAGCGCGUGUAGGCGGCCCUUUAAGUCCGAGUGAUGAAAGUCCCGGGGCCGUCACCCCCGGAAGUGCAUUGGAUACGUGAAGGGGGCUGGAGAUAAUCCGGAGAGGAGCGGGUGGAAUUCCUGGUGUAGCGGGUGAGGAGAAUGCGAUAGAUAUUACAGGAGGAACGCACCUGUGGCGAAGGCGGCCCUCGUGGAGGGAACGGAUACUGAUCGCUGAAGACGCGAGACAGCGUGGGGAGCAAACAGGAGAGAUUAGAUACCCUGGUUAGUCCACGCAUGUAAACCGAUGGGCACUAGGUGUAUCGGGGUAUUGACCCCUCCGAGUGCCGC